GCUCCCGUAGCUCAGCUGGUUAGAGCGUGGUACUUAUAAUGCCAAGGCCGCGAGUUCGAAUCUCGUCGGGAGCA